rnacentral:lncRNA from 1 species
CGAAAAAGGGUUUCCCCCACUUUAUAUUAUAAAGCAAUCAACAUCCAAGAGUACUGAUACAAACACACGCUAACACCACACUCUACACACACACCCAAGGGAAAAUACAAAGGUGUCGGGCACCGACACACCACCCGAACGACUACUAAGCACACUACAAAUGAGCAAAGAAGAACCACUUUGAGCCGACGGAGACCACCACAAGUGCGAUCCACCGAGAAGGGCGAGACGACCAAUGUUGGAGCAGGGACUCCAAAACGGUGCCUCCAAGAAGGGCCCGACUAUGGAAGCCGCUCCGCCACCAAGCCGCAAGGAGAGGCCGUGCCACCAUCGAACGGUGCCACCACCCCCGCGCGUGCCUCGUGCCGCUGAGCCCCGCCGUAGCCCAACGCCCGGUGGCCAACCAUCCCGCACCGGCUGGGGGGUCCAUGAGGAGGGGAAAGGAACGGCCCUACCGCUGCCUACGUCGUUACAAACUAAAAAUACAAGUACAUCUGAAUUUUAGGCGGGAAAUAUAUGUGAUCCAUAACACUGCAAUGAGUAUAUAGACAGAUCAAAUUUUAGACCGGAAUUAAAUAGUGCUUCAAUCAUCGUAGUUUUCGUACCAAUCAGUAAUUAGUGCCAUCUAAAGACGAAAGACAUUGCAAGCAGUGCAUAAAAUAAGGACAUGUGGGAAUCAAUGCAGCAAAGCUAUCUUCGUGUUGCAAAACAGCAGCGGCAGAGGCCGCCUCAAUCGUUGGCGGCAUGGCCCACAAUGCUGGCAACAUUCCGUCACGGGACGCCCGCGCCUGCCGAUUCCUGUUACUCGCUGGUGGCCGCCUGCCAGUGUGGUGACCGGUGCUGCCACCUCCAGGCGUGGCGGCAGGUGCCACACGUCGGCUGCCGCGCCUGCCGCCACGGCUUGGGGGGUCUUUUUUGUCAAUUUGAUUCGCAGGUAGUCUUUUUUGUCAAUUAAUCUUGGCAAGUGGUCUUUUUGGACAAAAAAUCAACUAACUCGCACGGUCGGCCACACACACAACACGAACUCACGUACACACACAGAACACUCACACGUAGAACACACACACACGCAGAGCACAUCUCGACCUGGCCAUGGCCAUGGCCAUGGCUAGCGGUACUAGUAGCCGGUUGCAGUAGAAGCAGUUCUAGCAGCGGCAGCAGCACACAACAACAACAGCGGCAGCUAGCACGAGCAGUAGCUGAGCAACGGCGACGGCGGCAACAGAGAAACAAGAUAGAAGUAGCAACAACGCAAGGAGCAGGGCAGCGUGAGCAGCGGACGACUGCGGGCUCGCGGGCAGGGGAGCACGGGGAGCAGCGGCGGGCGUGGCCGGGGAGCAGCACACAGGGCGCGCAGGUGCGACCAAUCGCGGCCCGAGGCGAGGCACGGCGCGUUGGCAAGCGCGAGAUUCGGCCAUGGCGUUCGUAGCGCGGUGGUGGGCUAUACGACGACGGAUCAAGGCCGGGAGGAGGGGGAACCGGACGAGAUGCUCACCGCGAGCUCGAUGGCAAGGUCGGGGAGACCGGGGCUGGUCGGAGACAAGCGGAUCGAGCGGCGAGGUGAUGACGGCCGUGGCGGAGAAGACCCGCGAUGGCGAGCUUGGCGGUGGCCUGGCGACGAACCGAAGGGCGUAGAGGAAGGAGGCGACGACGGCAGAGCUCCUGGAUGUCUUCUCAGGUGCUGAGGUGGACGGUGGCCGCGGUGACGACGACGACCAUGGCGACCACAACUCGGCCUUGCGUGGGAGGGAGAGAUGCGGCGCGAAGAGGGAGGAGGAGAGGGUGGGCG